AGACUCUGUGCGCGUGCAUAUCAAUAAGCGGAGGAAAAGAAACUAACAAGGACUCCCUUAGUAACGGCGAGCGAAGCGGGAAGAGCUCAAAUUUGAAAUCUUCAAGGUUCUACCUUGACGAAUUGUAGUUUAUAGAAGUGUUUUCUGUUAGUGGAGUGGCAAAAGUUCUUUGGAAUAGGACAUCAUAGAGGGUGAGAAUCCCGUAUUUGGUCAUUCCUCCUAGCGUUGUGAUACACUUUCAACGAGUCGGAUUGUUUGGGAAUGCAGUCCAAAAUGGGUGGUAAAUUUCAUCUAAAGCUAAAUAUUGGCGAGAGACCGAUAGCGAACAAGUACCGUGAGGGAAAGAUGAAAAGAACUUUGAAAAGAGAGUUAAACAGUACGUGAAAUUGUCAAAAGGGAAGCGUUUGACACCAGUGUUGUUUUUCCGAAAAUCAAUUACGAAUGUUUUGUUUUUGAGGAGUUAUGACUUCAUCGGCUUGCUCCUUUCUUUACGAAACUUUCUUAAUGCACUCUUCGGUUAACAAGUCAACAUCAAUUUCUUUUGUUGUAAAAGGGUAUGAGGAAGGUGGCUUUCUUUUCGGAGAAAGUGUUUAUAGCCUUGUGCCUCUGCAAUCGGAGAGAUUGAGGUCUGCAGCGUAGAUCCUUCGGGGUCAGAUACAUUUGUGCUAAGUUAUAGCUUUUCAUAGACAACUUGUUGACUAUGUUUAGUCUUGUAGCUUACUCGCUUAUGCUAUUUUACCUACGCUUAGGAUGUUGAAGAUGUAGCACAUCAU
rnacentral:rRNA from 1 species